GGCAUAUGGCUCAGGGGUAGAGUGUCUGCCUUUCAUGAAUAUGGCCCUGGGUUGGAUCCCCAGUACCA
rnacentral:tRNA from 1 species